GCUAGGAUCUAUGUCAUAGCCCGCUGAGUUCCUCGCCUUCUUGUGUAACCCGGAUCUGUGACGAACACCAAUUUUGCAGGAUUGUUUUUCGACAUCCUUGCAAUAUGCCCUGCCCUCCUUUCGGCUUUGGAUGCUGGGUUAGCCGUACAGUGCAGCGAGCUCCUCGGCGAGCUCGUGGUUCAUGCUUCGCCACCACACACCGCCGAAGAUCUUAGCAUACGUCACUCGAAAACUCCGAGUGCUUGCAGGUCCUCCUCGAGCAUGGAAGGAGAAGGCAUAUUACCGAAGAAGGAGGUUAGCUGGAAACCCACCAACAAAGAUGGAUGAUGAAGCAUUGGUGCAUAGCAACUUGGUAUGCGAAAGACGACGGAAAAUUACAAAUUGUUUUUCUGCAUUGAGCUAUAGCACGGUUAAACCAGCGAAUCGGCCGUUGAGGGCAUUGACACACGAUGUUGCUGCACAGGCUCAAAUCUUUCGCUGCAACGUGCUCCCGUAUCAGCAAAUACAUGAUAUUUAGAAGUGUU